rnacentral:rRNA from 1 species
UNNAGGGGUAAUAUUGUAGCAAUACGAUAUGAGACCGGCGCACGGGUGCGUAACACGUAUGCAACCUACCUUCUACUGGGGUAUAGCUCCGAGAAAUCGGAAUUAAUCCCCCAUAACACUGCGAUAGGGCAUCCUAAUGCAGUUAAAGCUCCGGCGGUAGAAGAUGGGCAUGCGGUACAUUAGCUAGUUGGUGAGGUAAUGGCUCACCAAGGCUACGAUGUAUAGGGGGUCUGAGAGGAUGAUCCCCCACACUGGUACUGAGACACGGACCAGACUCCUACGGGAGGCAGCAGUAGGGAAUAUUGGUCAAUGGACGCAAGUCUGAACCAGCCAUGCCGCGUGCAGGAUGAAAGCCCUAUGGGUCGUAAACUGCUUUUAUAAGGGAAGAAACCCCUGGAUGCGUCCGGGGCUGACGGUACCUUAUGAAUAAGGAUCGGCUAACUUCGUGCCAGCAGCCGCGGUAAGACGAAGGAUCCAAGCGUUGUCCGGAUUUACUGGGUUUAAAGGGUGCGUAGGCGGAAUUUUAAGUCAGUGGUGAAAGCCCGCAGCUUAACUGCGGAACUGCCAUUGAAACUGGAAUUCUUGAAUGCGGUGGAGGNAGAUGGAAUGUAACAUGUAGCGGUGAAAUGCUUANAUAUGUUACAGAACACCGAUUGCGAAGGCAGUCUGCUACACCGCUAUUGACGCUGANGCACGAAAGCGUGGGGAGCAAACAGGAUUANAUACCCUGGUAGUCCACGCCCUAAACGUUGAUUACUCGCUGUUGGCGAUACACUGCCAGCGGCUAANCGAAAGCGUUAAGUAAUCCACCUGNNAAGUACGUCCGCAAGGAUGAAACUCAAANGAAUUGACGGGGGCCCGCACAAGCGGANNANCAUGUGGNUUNNUUCGAUGA